rnacentral:lncRNA from 1 species
CAAGAUGCUCUAGCAGGAGAUCAAGCAUCAUUCUAACUGGGAUCCUUACAAUGCUUGUCUCGGCCUGUGUCAUAGGAAAUUUUAGAAUGGUUAUAUAAUUUUCCAGAGUACUAAAGUUGACAACAGUUGGUUUUAUACCAUGAAAACAAAGGUCUGGGUAACUAAAGGACAAUAAUCUUUGUUGUGCAAGAGUUUUAUUAGAUUCUUACUGUCCUAUUCGACAAUUGAGACAGUAAUUGAAAAAAAAUCAAAUGCUACCAUGAAUCAUAAGAUAAACCAGCAGAAAAUCUAAAGCCUAAUCAUCGGACAAAGUCACACACAUGAGCAGAUCGCUUCAAGUAUUGUACAAAGAACAAUGGCCUAGGAAACCAAUCCACAAUGCAGCGAGUUUGCUACAAAGAAAAUCCUAAGGACAACCUGUACACACUCAUACGCAAGCGUCAAUUCUGGUGUUUCCAACUUUAAUGAUAGGCUAAUCGAAACGAGAGGCCAAGCAGUCCUGGAUAAUCAUUUUGAAAAGUCUAAUUAGACAAUGUUAAGUGCAAGAGAGGCAAGGUGACUAAUUCAACAAUGCGCCAGGAACGGCCAGAAAAAGAUGAUUGCACUCACACAUCCAUUGUAGUUCUUGUAGUCCUUGUUUGUUUUGCAACAGGCAGACCAAUGUUACCAAGAAUGGCAUUAACCAUAGACUUUGGGCUGAUCAGCUCUUCAGUUAAUGAGACACCAAACGAUUCGAUAGGUAUAAUAUAUUUGGAAACAGAAUGUGUCAGGCCAGGCUCAAAAACAAGAAUGACACGAUAAGUAAGAAAACAACGGUGGCACAAGUUAAUAUGUGAAUAGGUGGCCUUUAGAUCGUUUAAUAGAUUCAUUAUGUGAGUAUUCAUACUAAGUAAAACUCAAUACCACAACUAAAUUAUAAUCAAUAGAUUUGGAGUAUUCUCUCUGAAAAGGGCAGCAUUUUUAUACACAGCCCGAAUAACAGUAAGAUCACUCACGUGAACCCUAGAUCGAUACUACUGAAGUACAGAAUUUAUAAGCGACCGACAGCUCGUGUUUACCUUGUUCAUUGGUGGCACCGUGGACUGCGUUUUCCAUGUUCCUGUCGCCGGCGUGGUGGACAUGAGUUCCCUCCAUGCACUGAUUGGUAUUGAGUAGUCAGUUGCUUUCAGAUCACAAAGAACUACAUCAAACAAAGAUGAAUCUAGCUAAAGGAUGCAUGUCCUGCAUACAAUGUAUAUUAGACAAUGCUAAGAGCUAAAAAUAUUGAUUGGUGCAAGUUUGAAGAGAACAAAUCUAAAUUACAUCAUACUUGAAUCUUAGCAAAGCAAAUGGUCAAAUAAUAUAUGUAUGAGUGGUAGAAGAAUAGCAAUGGCCCAAAGCAGAUACGCGAAACAACAAUCAGGAUCCAGAAAGUCCAAGGCAAGGCCUCUAAAAAGAAUCUGCUCCACACAAGAAGAAACCAAAGACAUUUUUACAGCAACAUAGCCAGUCCUGCCAAAUAGUACAUGAAUUAAAGAAGGAAACGAGCUUACCCAGUAGGAGCAUGACUGGCACGACCACCGACAGUAGAGGCGAAUGACAGAAUCGUCCGUGGAAGGAAAAAUCGAGCACGGCAAGUAAUCUGCAGUGCAAACCACGCGUCAAAUAUAAAGCUUCCGCCACACACCAAUAUGAGUCUCAAUCCAAAAAAGUAGAGCCAGACCAGGCCAAGACACUAAUAUGAAUCUCAAUACAAGGGCACAAUGAGCACUGAAGAUUUUUCAGCAUGUACCAUACAUCUAGAAUAACAUGAGCAGCCCUCUGCAAUUUAUUACUGAUGCCCAUGCGUAUGUUACGUAUAUUUACUAAGUAUAUAAUUAGCAAAGGAGAGAGAGAGAGAGAGAGAGGGGCGAAUCUUACCAACGAGGGGCGAGACGGGGAGUGGUGGCUAGGUUCCGCCGACGUCCAGCAGGCUGCCGAUGUCGUUGAUGAUCCGGUCGGCGUCGUCGAUGAAGAGGGUGGCAACCCCGGCGACGAAGCCCGACGCGCUGCCGCCAUCCUCCUGCAGCGACUGCAGCUGCCGGAACUGGUCGUCCACCAUACCCUAGGAACAACAGAUCGGCCACGCCGGAGGCAACGGGUCAGGUCGAAAUGGCGACGACGACGACGACAACCCCCUACUGGAUGCUCCAGCGUGAUGUCACACUUUGACAUAGGGUAUAGUACACACGUAUGCAAAAUCUCUAGCAUCUAGACUCUAUCUUAGUACAUUCUCUGAUGGUGCAAACUUUACAUAUGAAGAUAAUUAACUUAUCUAGACCCCAGGACGGAGGAAAUCAUUUCAAUCGAUCUUAAUAAUACCUUGGUAUGCUUUAUAUUUUUCCUGGGACUAAUUAUGUAUGUGGUGAUGACACAAUCCUAGUGGGAUAGCAUCACCCAUUCCUUGUUCAAAGCAACAUCACAAUAAACCAAUCCGUGUCACAAAUCGAAGGUGGGGACUGGACAACGAGCUAUGUCCAACGGGAAGCAACACCAGCAGCUCACAAUAUAAAUAAAAAGUGUCAUCAGUAAAGUAGUUGACAAUAAACUAUAAGCUCAAAUCAUAGAACUAUUGUUGCAGGUCAAAACAAUUGAAGUAUGAUUUACCAAUCUACAAACAUAGGCACAUAAAUAAAAUUGUUUGAUUCUUGCCUUUACAUAUAUAAUAUAAACAGAGACACAUAAUGAGGACUCCUAAUAAAAAAUCUCAGUUUUUGUUUCGCUAAUUUACAGUGAGAAGAGAAAUAAAAACAUGUACAAUCUGGAAGUUCAACUACUUUCAAUACAAUUUUCUUCUGGUUUCUAGUUUUUCUUAGGAGAGAACAAGUAACACAACUGAAUAAAACAAAUCAAAGAUGAUUAAGGGCUGAUGCAGUACAAGGAAAGUAAGAGGAGGAGAGGGGGACAGACCUCCCUGGACAUGCAUAUCGCCCCACCUCCCUUGCCCUUCUUCUUCAGGUCCUUCUGCUCCUUGCUCAUCCAUCCCCUUCUUCUCCUUUUCUCUGCAGCACAUGGACGGGGGAAGCACCAAAUUGAUGCCCCCCAAAACACAAAUCGGUCCAAAUCACAAGUAUUAUACAAGGUAAAAAAAUGAUUUUUCGGUAAGGAACAGAAGAGGGUAGAUAGAGGGAGAGGGCCGAGGAUACCGUGGCUGCCGCUAUGUUGUGUUGGGGAAGAAGCACACCCCCUCUACCGCCGAGUGGUGGUGGAGAAGCUGCUCCUAAUAUAAAGCUAUUCCUGCAACCUGUAAUAACACACUCAAGUUAAUGGGAUAAGCACACAAAUUAUCUAUCUAGUACAAAUCCCCUUAUCGCUGUUGUAGUUAUCUUUUCCUUGAUAAAUUGUAUUGCUAGGGAGGCCUUCCCUAUAGUUUUCCAGUCAAAGUUAUAAUAAUAAAGAUGCAUAUUUUGGCACAAUUAUUCUCUAGCUAAUCCACUUGCCCUCUUAUUCUACUGACUGGUGACAAGGCAUGAGUGUGGAAAUAUUCUAGAGCAUGCAUCUCAGUCAACUGUAUGAAAGCCUUACAGAAAGAUCAAUUGAUUUAAAUUAAUGAUUGUAUACUACGUACCCUAAUAUUAUAGAGCAGCCACCAUCAAAUGAAUCAUAACUCAUGAGGAACAGACUGAAGGAUAAUGUCUCAGUUGUUACACUUGAGCAGCAAACAAAUUAAAACGAUCAAUUUAGAAGCAAAAAAAACUUUUUUAGAUCAAUCUAUCUGAGUGCAAGAGUGCAGUGCAGAGGCAGCCCUCUUGUCCAGUGAAAAAAAAUGAUGUGUGCAUACAAUGGAUACAUACACACACAAUUUGCUCCAGUUUGAGUCAUCCAAAACUAAACCAUAACAUGAUGCGCGCACACAGAGUUUGCUAUGGUUUUCUUCACGGAUGAUGAACCCAAACGUCAUGCCAUCCAAAAGGAAGGUGCAAACUAAACCAACACAAGGUACAAAGUGUAGAUGAUGUUCAGAUGUGGGGGUAGAUUGGGGGAGAGGAAAUUCACCAUGUUGGUUCUGGGUGCCUGCUGUUAGGAAAAAUCUUUAGGUUUAUUGCAAUCGGAUUAUUUGCCUAGCAUUAGAUCACCUAAGAUAUGAUUAACAAAGAGGUUUGUGAGAUCUUACAGGCUUGCUCGAUGCAGGCACAGCGGAGCCCAUGAUCUCAAGUGGCGAGGAUGAGCAGCACCAGUGGCGCCAAGGUGAUGUAGUCGUGGAGAGGCAGCAGCUCACCCAGGAGCUUCGCGGUGGCAGCAGGAAACCGCCGGCACAGCCUUGCGGCGGCUAGCGAUGGAAACGGCCUUCCCAUUGCGUAACACACCCCUAGAUCGGUAGGUUUGAGGGAAUUAAGGGGCUAGAUAUCAUGUACGUGAACUCAGGUGCCAUAAGUAUCCAGGCCCCACCCUUUAUAUGUGUGCUCGCAAUAGGGGACCAAAACCAUCUGUUGGUUAGAGGUGCCCCCGAUCAGGGCGAUUCUGUUGGGGUCAACAGCCACGUACGUUGGUUCGUGGCCCAUACCCUUAACGAUACUUUUUACCCGGUCAAAGCCGAGAUCAACCAACAUUCUCCCCCUUGAUCGUUAGGCUCAACUUCAUUCGCCCAUUUUCCAUAGGAAUAAUAUAUAGAAGUAAGGUGUUACAACAGCGAAUGUAAUGCCAUUAAACCUCAAUACUUAUAAUACAUCAGCCUACUUCAAAAUGGAAAACAUAUUACUUAAUGGGGGUGGUUUGUUUCGAAGGUCCUUACUUCCAGGAUCAAAAAGGCUUUCCAACAACCCAUGCUAGCAACAUAAUCUUACAAUUGGGUGGUAAGCCUUCGAUAAACGGAUCCGUAAAACAUUCAGACAUACUCAUACACUCAACUUCAAUAGCUUGAUCCUGGAUUCUAUCUUUCACAACAAAAAACAUAUUGUCAAUGGUUUUGGCAACGCCAUUUGACUUGUUGUUACUCACAAAGAAAAUUGCACAUUCAUAUUGCAGUAGGUGGUUUAGAAAUGUUGUCUACCACCAUAAUUUCGAGAAUAAAACUUAUUUGACAUACAACCUGCUCAGUAGCCUCUUAACAUGCCACAUAAUAAACUGCAUCAUUACUGAUGCCAUCAUUGUCAUUAUGGAGAUUUUCCACGAUAUAGCUCCAUAUGCGAGGGUGGGGAUGUAACAUAACGUGGAAACUCAAUAUCCGCACACCUCGCAGAAAACAAUGUCUGAAUAGCCUACGAUAUUGAGGUUACUAAGACCUCUUAUUAUUGAGCAUGUAAACUUUAUUGCCUUGAUUUACUGCGAAACUUUUCAACGGCCUUUCGAGUUGUCCAUUUCUGAACUUGUACAUUUGCCAAUUAUCCCGAUCAUAAAUAGGGCACAUUUAUACUUGAAUACUUAUAUUGCUUCUGACAGCUAAAGCAUAAGGAACUAACAUUAUCUGAUCAGUUCAUAAUGGUUCCUUGAACACUAAGAUGUCCACUUUUAUUGCCCUUAACUUUAAUAGCAGGUGAGACAGAGUACUAGUACAUAACCAUUUUUUCGUACUCUAUUGACGUAUGCCAUCAUAAUAAAACUUAUACUCCUUUUGGACCAAUAUCUUGGCAAAACUCAAUACAAGCAAAGUAAUAUGAGGCAUCACCAAGACUCAUACUCAUAAAUAGAAGAUAGAAAUUUCUUGGCUCGACAAAAAUAUUUCAUCUUCACAAGGUAGUGAGCUUACUCCCCCUCGACUUAUGGUAUGAGUGUCCCAGCGCUUGUCUUGUUUCAUAAUUGUAUUUCUUUGAAUAAUAUGCCUCAUGUCAACUUUAUCUUCAUGACGGAACCUUACGGUUGAGUCAUACGUACAUUUUUCACUCAGCCAACACAAGAGCAUGUUAUAAUAAUAACACAAGCGUCACAACAACUCACCAAGAAAACUCUAUUGAGUUACAUCAUUAUAGCUCAUAACUUCCAUCCUAUAUGGCAAGAACGCGCUAAGAUGAUCAUUCACACACAUUAUUAAACGCAGGGAAAUUGUUAAGGCUCAACACUAAGUGUUGCAUUAGGAAUUUCUUCUCAAAUUACCUAAUGCAUAUGAACAAAGAUCUAAUGGAGUUAUCCUUAAGAUUCAUAUUCACAUGCUCCAGGUUCCUUGAUAAUCACUUUAAAAAUGGAGAACAUAAAUCCAAAAACUUGAUGACAAUCAUCUUAGCUCUAAACCACAACACCGUUGGGUAGAAGAUGGCAAAGAACUUCAUGAGUUGCGACACAUGAUUAUAAAACAACGUUGGUUAGAAAUAUAAACAUGAGCCACAUGAUACUGACAAACUUGCCACUUCAAUAAAGUGUGACACAUGAUUAUAAAUGACGUUGGUCAGAAGUAUAACCGCAGUAACAUCAUAAUCAACAUUAGAUUAGCAAGCUUGCCACUUCAACAUUCAUGUGUGCUUCAUAAUUCUCAUAAGGGAGCAAGUACAUGUAGUUUCUCAUUAAAAAAAAGUCAAGACAUUCAUGUGAUCUUUCACUCACUAUAAUCAUUCAUUCUCUUCAUGUGAUCUUUCACUCACUAUAAUCAUUCAUUCUCCAAAAUAAGACUUCUCGUUGGUUCCAUCCUACUCGGAGAAUUAAUUGAUGCGUUCAUCAUUUCCAAUAUUCAAUGAGACAUUCCAUUCUUCCCCUCGAAAUGUGGUAAACAUGACCACAAUUUCAACGAGGUCUCAUUAUUCACAUACACCUUAAGAGUGCCAUGGCACAUAUCAUUAUUGAAAAUAAUUCAUUCAUAAAUAUUCUCACCACAUGGUAAGACGAUCAUAAAAGGGUUGAUUAUGAAGGACAAAAGGUUCAUAUGAAUAAACAAAAUGUCUUCUAUUGCUUUAUUCUUUAUUGUCCUCGUAGCAAAACCCCUUAAAGCCGAUCUUCAAUGGGUAAAUAUCUUUAAAAUGUUCCUUAAUAGAGCCCAAGUACUUAUUGACAUAUACUAAAAAAAUACAUUCUUUAUCUCAGAGGAGAUGGUAUGCUUCAUGAUAAGGAGUGAAAUAUGGUUUCUCCCACUCAAUUGCUUUCAGGUCAUACUUUUCCAUCUUGUCAUCAGAGUUCACAAUAGAAAACUCAUGAAGGUCCAAAACCUCUAUCAUUAAGAGAGCCCUUUCCUUCCAUUUGUGAAGAUCAACUCCAUUGUUCAAAUAAAUGAACUCAACUUUGUGGUCCAUUGCUAAACAAGGACACGAUUUUAUGAGCAUCAUUAUUAAACAUCAAACAAAACACUUGAAUGGCCUCAAUCAAAACAAGAUACUCAUGUUCUAAUCCGUAUCACCGUUGGGUUGAAAACGGAGAAGAUCACUUUUGAUCCAAAAUUUGGACAUGACAAUAAUCAACGUUUGUCAGAAUAUUGUCAUAUACCAUAAAACAUAUGCUCAUAAAUGACAUCUCUAACAAAAACUUCCUAUUUUGGCUCUAGAAACUUCGAAUCACAUAAUGAUCAGCAAACUUAUUACUAAAUUAGUAGCCAACAUUAACAUAAAGCACCAUUAUAUGGUGCAAUCCUAUGUGUUAUCACAAACAUGGAUUCAUAAUUUAUCACUGAUCAUCUUACAUUAAACUUUGACAUCAUAAUGUCAAUAAUAUCAAUAAAAUAUGUCAAGGUUUAUCAUUAAAAAACUUCAAUCACAUCAGAGUAAACAUUAGAUUGACACCCUUUGUGUAAUGACACCAUAAACAUUCUCCAAACAAAAUUUGGAUAUUACACCAUGCUUUCACCGAAUAAUAACAUUUGGUAAAAAUUUAGCAGUCAAUAAAUGACAGCUCAUGACCAUGAUAUGACAUUAAAUUUCUCUAAAUAUUCUUCUUCUGUGAAUCAUUAUGCCGAGCCUCCGUCACCUUCUGUCAAUGCAUGCCAAAAGACACAAAAUGCACCUCACAUAGUGGUUUAACAUUAUGGCUCAUCAUCAUUAGACUGCGUAGUGCGGUGCGGAAAAGCCGAACCACGCGGCCACUAACACUUCCUUAAGAUGGCCUCGGCCAGACUUGAGAGAUGAUCACAACUUAAACUUCAUGCUCAAAUAAAAUCUUCGAACAAAAUGUCCAGAAACUUUAGAGAGGUACACGUAAUCAUGCAAAUAAAAUCAUCUCAUCACGUUAAUAAUUCAACAUUAAAAUGCUAUUAAAGAGAGAUUAUCACUAAAAAAUAAUACCAUAUAAAUAACAUCAUAAUCUCAUAGCAUUAUUCACCCCUUAAAUUUCAGACAUUCUCCAAUUUAAAACAGUACAUAAGACAUUAUUUGAAAAAUUCAAACUCCAUAAACUGUACUGAAAACAAGAAAAUGCCUGAAUAAUUCAUCAUACAUAUUGGCCACAUCAUUCUCAUAUUAAAUAUAAAUUUGACAACAUUAAUUUUCAAUGUCAAUAGAUAUUUAAAAUGAUACUCAACAUUAAAUUUCAUGUGUCAAAAUAAAACAAAAAAUAUUUCUUAUUGGCUCCUUUUAAUUCUGUAAAAAUAACAUAAUUUUCUAGCUAUUUUCAUUUUAAAACAGUGCAAGACAUUUUGAGAAUCAUCAUAAUACAAAAUAGCACUGAAUAAGGGAAAAUACACAGAACAUCAGAAUUGGCCCAUGAAAACCACGUCAGACUUUUAUUGAUUCGGCCUAGGAGAAAAGAUUCAGAGGAAAGAAAAAAUCCUCCCGGGCUUAGACAAACUCGGCCGAAGCCCAGCCGCAAAAGCGGCUUGUAAGACUCCCGAAGGCCCAUGCGGCCACCGCCUUGAUCGUGGCCGUACGAUCGAAUCGGACGGACCAGAUCGAUCUCUAGUGGAACAAAACCGCCACCAGUCGAAACCCUAGCCCUCAUUUUUCUCCAUCCAUCCCGAUUUUCUCGCUCUCUCUAGAGGAGUGGUCCAACUGCGGCGGCGACGGUGAGGUGCGCACACACAAGAAGACACGGCGGCGCGAGGCACGCCGGACAUGGCGACGCGGUAGCUUCGCUCGCCGGAGCAGCGUGCACAAGGACUUGGUCCGGCGCGCUCCUCCGUCGAGCGUAGCUCCGGAGACGCGACCACGUAGCCGAGGCGUUUACGGGCAUUUCGCCGGCGGCUGCCGGCGCACGCUUUGACGGCGACGGCGAGGAACAAGGCACGAAGUCCAGCAGCGGUUGCAUCUUCUUUCCGCGCCGUAACGAGAGACAGCGGCGUUCCGGCCAUGGCGUACACGCACGGCGGUGGCCGUGGCCGUGCGGACCCUAAGGCCGGCAUGCUCAUAAACGUAAGAUCCAGCCCCUCUUUAGUUUCUUUUCUUUCGAUUUGAGGCAUGGGAUUGACUUUGUAGGGUUCCCAAAAAUUUGGGGAUUGACUAGAGUUAGGGUUCGUCUGAAUUGGGGCUUUCUUUAAUUGCGCCAAUUCAUCAUAUUCUAAUGGCUAACAGGGGCUAGUUAUCAUGAUUACAUUAACAUUAUGCGGAAGCAUGGCAAAAUAAUAAUAAUUAGACUAGCCGAACGGGUUAAUCAUCAUUAUUCUCUGAUUAGGACUAAACCCCCUAGCGAAUUAGAUCUUGACCGAAAAGCACAAACCCUAAAGAUGGCUAAAACCAACAGUCUAAACUUAAUCAUUAACCUUAAACAAUGAUCAUCUGAACUUAAUUGUUGAUAUUAACAUAAUUAGAUGAUCAUUAGGGAUCUAAUCUAGGCUUACACGGCUCAAGAUACCAUUGUUAGGAAAAAUCUUUAGGUUUAUUGCAAUCGGAUUAUUUGCCUAGCAUUAGAUCACCUAAGAUAUGAUUAACAAAGAGGUUUGUGAGAUCUUACAGGCUUGCUCGAUGCAGGCACAGCGGAGCCCAUGAUCUCAAGUGGCGAGGAUGAGCAGCACCAGUGGCGCCAAGGUGAUGUAGUCGUGGAGAGGCAGCAGCUCACCCAGGAGCUUCGCGGUGGCAGCAGGAAACCGCCGGCACAGCCUUGCGGCGGCUGGCGAUGGAAACGGCCUUCCCAUUGCAUAACACACCCCUAGAUCGGUAGGUUUGAGGGAAUUAAGGGGCUAGAUAUCAUGUACGUGAACUCAGGUGCCAUAAGUAUCCAUGCCCCGCCUUUUAUAUGUGUGCUCGCAAUAGGGAACCAAAACCAUCUGUUGGUUAGAGGUGCCCCCGAUCAGGGCGAUUCUGUUGGGGUCAACAACCACGUACGUUGGUUCGUGGCCCAUACCCUUAACGAUACUUUUUACCCGGUCAAAGCCGAGAUCAACCAACACCUGCUCCUCCACCUCCUCAGGCUGAUUUGCUGCAGAUGUGGCUGAUUUGCUGGUUACGGUUGUACCCACAACCUACAGAGACGAAUCGAGCGUUAGAGAGAGAGCAGGACAGAGGAGAGGGGAGAGGAAGCGGUGGCUUACCACCUACACCUGACCUGCGCAGGGGAGGGGAGCUAGAAGAGCCGCAACAUCUUCUCCAUGGGAUGGGC